rnacentral:sRNA from 1 species
CCCUAGCCCUGAUGGAAGCGGCAUCCUUUUGUGCCGUUGUUCGGCACAAAAGAUAAAGUGGACAGCAGGAAUAGCU